GUUUGAUCGGGGUGGUAUACCACCGGAAUAGUGUUUUAUACGCCUGCUCCUGAAGUGUUAUGCAUAUGGAUACUUUUGAGCAUGCUUCCCAUAUAUCUUGCCAGUCUGUCCCUUCCAGGGUUUCUCCCAGAUCUGCCUCCUAUCUGUCCGUGUAAUGUAGCUUAUCCCAUUCCCCGGAUUCCGCCCCUAUGUGGCUGUACAGUAGUGAGAUCAGUUUAGCGGGCAUGUGUUCU